rnacentral:rRNA from 1 species
UAAUACGAAGGUCCCAAGCGUUAUCCGGAUUUAUUGGGUUUAAAGGGUGCGUAGGCGGGCUAUUAAGUCAGUGGUGAAAGCUCUCGGCCUAACCGAGAAAUUGCCAUUGAUACUGAUGGUCUUGAGUACAUUUGAGGAGGGCGGAAUGUGUCAUGUAGCGGUGAAAUGCUUAGAUAUGACACAGAACACCGAUUGCGUAGGCAGCUCUCUAAACUGUAACUGACGCUGAGGCACGAAAGCGUGGGGAGCAAACAGGAUUAGAUACCCUGGUAGUCCACGCCUUAAACGAUGAUCACUCGAUGUGUGCGAUAUACUGUACGCGUCUGAGCGAAAGCAUUAAGUGAUCCACCUGGGGAGUACGGUCGCAAGACUG